UCUCACAAAUAAUUAACUUCUCCAGCAAACAUAUGAACAACUCUAUCUAAAUAGAGGCCCUUAUGCUAAAACUAUUAAUACGAGCAACAACUCUACCUGCGCAUUCAUCACUCAAGUAGUACUGACAAUUAACAGACCUAAAAAGGGUGAGUACAACCUAAUUAACAAGUCCUUUAAAACCUGUGAGUCCAACCCAGGUGCGCUAGGUAAUAAAUUAAAAGUUACAAAAGGAACUCGGCAAACAUAGAUUCCAACUGUUUACCAAAAACAUAGCCUUUAGCUAAACAAGUAUUGAAGGUAAUGCCUGCCCAGUGAAGUCACUUUCAACGGCCGCGGUACCCUAACCGUGCAAAGGUAGCGUAAUCA
rnacentral:rRNA from 1 species